AGCGAACGCUGGCGGCAGGCCUAACACAUGCAAGUCGAACGAACUCUCCGUAGUUACUGGCGGUCGGGGGAGUAGCGCGUGGGAAGGGGCCGUUUUACACGGAAUAACUCAGUUUAACUGGUGCUAAUACCGAGUGUGCCCUUCGGGUGCAGGAUAUAUCCCCAUGAUAGCAGCCGGCGUCGGAUUAGCUAUGUGGUGAGGUAGAGGCUCACCAAGGCGACGAUAAGUAGCUGGUCUAAGAGGCUGACAAGCCACAUUGGGACAGAGACACGGCCCAGACUCCGAGGCGAGGCAGCAGUGGGGAAUAUUAGACAAGGGGGGAGAGCCUGAUCCAGCGCUACGGCGGGGGGGAAGAAGGACCUCGGGUGGUAAAGCCAUUUUGGUGGGAAAGAAAUGCAGUAGUUUAAUACGCCGCGGUACUGACGGUACCCGAAGAAUAAGCACCGGCUAACUUCGUG
rnacentral:rRNA from 1 species